rnacentral:lncRNA from 1 species
CCUGCUGCUUCUCUUUUCCCACUACUCUCUUCUUUUACUUUACUGGUCUGGCCUCGGGGAGGACAUUCAAUCGGUGUGUCAUCACUUUGGGGUCAAUUCCCAGCAUGUCUGAAGGCUUCCAUGCGAAGGUCGGCGCGUGACUUCGGAUCAGGGCCAUGACUUCACCUUUUUGUUCUUUGGUGAGGCUGGCAUUAAGACUGAAGACCUUGUUUGCAUCUGCUUCUGAUAAGGGGAAGGUUUCCAACUCUCCAACUGGCUCUGUCCGGGCUUCUUUUGUUUCAUCUCUGACCUCCAGAACUUCCGAGUCGAG